ACGCUCGACACCUACGGGAGCAGCAGUGAGGAAUAUUGGUCAAUGGACGCAAGUCUGAACCAGCCAUGCCGCGUGCAGGAUGACGGCUCUAUGAGUUGUAAACUGCUUUUGUACGAGGGUAAACGCAGAUACGUGUAUCUGUCUGAAAGUAUCGUACGAAUAAGGAUCGGCUAACUCCGUACACGCAGCCGCGGUAAUCUGAGCGGGCGUGGCAAGGC
rnacentral:rRNA from 1 species